AGCAGCCGCGGUAAUUCCAGCUCCAAUAGCGUAUAUUAAAGUUGUUGCAGUUAAAAAGCUCGUAGUUGAAUUUCGGGAUUGGCGCAUCGGUCGUGCCUCACGGGGUAUGAACUGGUGCAGUCAAUUUCUCACCUUCUGGAGAACCGCGAUGUCCUUAAUUGGAUGCCGUGGGGAACCAGGACCUUUACUUUGAAAAAAUUAGAGUGUUUAAAGCAGGCAUUUUUGCUUGAAUACAUUAGCAUGGAAUAAUAAAAUAGGACGGCAUGGUUCUAUUUUGUUGGUUUCUAGGAUUGACGUAAUGAUUAGUAGGGAUAGUUGGGGGCAUUAGUAUUCAAUUGCCAGAGGUGAAAUUCUUGGAUUUAUUGAAGACUAACUACUGCGAAAGCAUUUGCCAAGGAUGUUUUCAUUAAUCAAGAACGAAAGUUAGGGGAUCGAAGACGAUCAGAUACCGUCGUAGUCUUAACCAUAAACUAUGCCGACUAGGGAUCGGAUGAUGUUAAUUUUUUAAUGACUC
rnacentral:rRNA from 1 species